rnacentral:rRNA from 1 species
GAAAAUGGUGUGCAAUUUUUCCAUAUAAGGACAUUGUAAUGUGUUAAUGUANNAUAAAUAUUUAUCAUAAGAUUCAAUAAAGAUGUUUAUUUGAAUUGGUUAUUUUCGAAUAGCUAACAUAGAAUAAAUUUAUUAAGUUUGAUAAAUCAUUGACCGAUUUANUUGUAUAUAGUGCUAAAAUUCAUAGUUGAAUUUUACAAUNAUUUUUAAAUGUAUUUUCAUUUUUGAAUUAAUUGUAUGCACUUAUAUGAUUNACAAUGCCAUAGAUUCAGGAUACCUUCNGGACCCGUCUUGAAACNCGGACCAAGGAGUCUAACAUAUGUGCAAGUCAUUGGGUAUUUUUAAUAAAACCCAAAGGCAUAAUUAACUUAACUGUNNNNNNNNNNNNNNNNNUUUGGGAUUAGUUAAAAUUUUGUUAUGAAGUUUUAAUUCAAUCCCAGGGCGUUCUAUAUAGUUAUGCAUAAUGAUAUUUAUAUUAUUUAUGCCUCUAACUGAGAGCGUACCUUGAGC